ensembl:lncRNA
CUCCUCCAAUACAUCAUAAAAGGUAGUAAUUUCCAGCAUGGGUGCAAUGAUGAACAGCUGUGGGGACUAAAUUUAUCAUCUGAAAAAGCUGGAGCUGAAAGAAGGUGUGUGACUAUGUUCUUAGACAGACAGACUAAAGAAUAAUAGAUGUUUAUGUGAUUUCCAGGCAUUUAUGUGAAAGAUUACCCUAAAACCUACCUCUUAAGAUGUACACAGAGAGGGAAAGUAGGUCAUUUGACUCUUGAUUGGUCAUUACAUGGACCUGAAGUAGCAUGUGGGAAGAGACUACAAAUAGAAAUAGGGUGGAAGGAGGAAACUAGGCCCAGGAAUGGGUUGAAAAAGUGACUGAUGUCACAAAAGAAGAGACAGGUACAUAACCGAUAGCAAAAGGAAUCAGUAUGGAAGUAAAAGUCAGAGGGAACCAGAAGGUAGAGAGGAAGGAAAGAGACUGUGGUAAAAGGGAGAGAAAAGUUAGCUUGUGGGUAUAUUCCGAUUGUAUCAGAAAUAGUGUGGCCAGCAGGAACAGGGAAUAAUUGUCCCCCUGUACUCAACACUGGUGAGGCUGCACCUCGAGUACUGUGUUCAGUUUUGGGCCCCUCGCUGUAAGAAAGACAUCGAGGCCCUGCAGCGUGUCCAGAGGAGGGCAACAAAGCUGGUGAGGGGUCUGGAGCACAGCCCUUAUGAAGAGCGGCUGAAGAAGCUGGGAUUGUUCAGUCUGGAGAAGAGGAGGCUCAGGGGAGACCUUAUUGCUCUCUAUAACUACCUGAAGGGAGGUUGUAGUGAGCUGGGGGUCGGCCUCUUCUCUCAUGUGACUAGUGAUAGGACUAGAGGGAAUGGCUUCAAGCUGCACCAGGGAGGGUUCAGGCUGGACAUUAGGAAAUACUAAUUCUCUGAGAGAGUGGUCAGGCUCUGGAAUGGGCUGCCUAGGGAGGUGGUGGAGUCACCGCCCCUGGAGGUGUUCAAGGAACGUUUGGAUGUUGUGUUGAGGGACAUGGUUUAGCGAGAACUAUUGGUGAUGGGUCGAUGGUUGGACUGGGUGAUCCUGUGGGUCUUUUCCAACCUUGGUGAUUCUAUGAUUCUAUGACCCUAUGAUUUUCAAGACUUUAUUUGCUAUUAUUGAACUGAGUUGGAAGAUGAUUGCUUAAUUGCUGUCCUGUUGGGC